GGUGGCCGCAGAGAAUAGGCCCAAGCGACUGUUUACCAAAAACAUAGGUUUCUGCUAAGUCGCAAGACGAUGUAUAGGAGCUGACGCCUGCCCGGUGCUGGAAGGUUAAGGGGAUCUGUUAGAGCAAUCGAAGCAGUGAACUUAAGCCCCAGUAAACGGCGGCCGUAACUAUAACGGUCCUAAGGUAGCGAAAUUCCUUGUCGGGUAAGUUCCGACCCGCACGAAAGGCGUAACGAUUUGGGCACUGUCUCAACAAUAGACUCGGUGAAAUUGUAAUUCCGGUGAAGAUGCCGGAUACCUGCGACAGGACGGAAAGACCCCAUGGAGCUUUACUGUAGCUUGACAUUGGGUCUUGGUACUACAUGUACAGGAUAGGUGGGAGGCUUUGAAACCAGGACGCCAGUUUUGGCGGAGCCAUCCUUGGGAUACCACCCUUGUAGUACUGGGACUCUAACCAUAGGCCAUGAAUCUGGUCUUGGGACACUGUCAGGUGGGCAGUUUGACUGGGGCGGUCGCCUCCCAAAAGGUAACGGAGGCGCUCAAAGGUUCUCUCAGUACGGUCGGAAAUCGUACGUAGAGUGUAAAGGCAAAAGAGAGCUUGAUUGCAAGACAUACAGGUCGAGCAAGGAUGAAAAUCGGACUUAGUGAUCCGGUGGUUCUGCGUGGAAGGGCCAUCGCUCAACGGAUAAAAGCUACCCUGGGGAUAACAGGCUUAUCUCCCCCAAGAGUCCACAUCGACGGGGAGGUUUGGCACCUCGAUGUCGGCUCAUCACAUCCUGGGGCUGUAGUAGGUCCCAAGGGUUGGGCUGUUCGCCCAUUAAAGUGGUACGCGAGCUGGGUUCAGAACGUCGUGAGACAGUUCGGUCCCUAUCCGUCGCAGGCGUAGGAAAUUUGAGAAGACCUGUCCUUAGUACGAGAGGACCGGGAUGGACGUACCUCUGGUGUACCAGUUGU
rnacentral:rRNA from 1 species